GACGAACGCUGGCGGCGUGCUUAACACAUGCAAGUCGAACGGUAAGGCCCUUCGGGGUACACGAGUGGCGAACGGGUGAGUAACACGUGGGUGAUCUGCCCUGCACUUCGGGAUAAGCCUGGGAAACUGGGUCUAAUACCGGAUAGGACCACUGCCUGCAUGGGUGGUGGUGGAAAGCUUUUGCGGUGUGGGAUGGGCCCGCGGCCUAUCAGCUUGUUGGUGGGGUGCUGGCCUACCAAGGCGACGACGGGUAGCCGGCCUGAGAGGGUGACCGGCCACACUGGGACUGGGAUACGGCCCAGACUCCUACGGGAGGCAGCAGUGGGGAAUAUUGCACAAUGGGCGCAAGCCUGAUGCAGCGACGCCGCGUGAGGGAUGACGGCCUUCGGGUUGUAAACCUCUUUCAGCACCGACGAAGCGCAAGUGACGGUGGGUGCAGAAGAAGGACCGGCCAACUACGUGCCAGCCGCCGCCGUAAGAC
rnacentral:rRNA from 1 species